GGGAAUAUUGGGCAAUGGGCGGAAGCCUGACCCAGCAACGCCGCGUGAAGGAAGAAGGCCCUCGGGUUGUAAACUUCUUUUCUAUAGGACGAAGAAGUGACGGUACUAUAGGAAUAAGCCACGGCUAACUACGUGCCAGCAGCCGCGGUAAUACGUAGGUGGCGAGCGUUAUCCGGAUUUACUGGGUGUAAAGGGCGUGUAGGCGGGAGAGCAAGUCAGAUGUGAAAACUACAGGCUUAACCUGUAGCCUGCAUUUGAAACUGUUCUUCUUGAGUGAUGGAGAGGCAGGCGGAAUUCCUAGUGUAGCGGUGAAAUGCGUAGAUAUUAGGAGGAACACCAGUGGCGAAGGCGGCCUGCUGGACAUUAACUGACGCUGAGGCGCGAAAGCGUGGGGAGCAAACAGG
rnacentral:rRNA from 1 species